GAGGAAUAUUGCGCAAUGGGGGAAGCCCUGACGCAGCGACGCCGCGUGAGUGAGGAAGGCCUUCGGGUCGUAAAGCUCUGUCAAGAGGGAAGAAGUGCAUAGCGGUUAAUACCCGUUAUGUUUGACGGUACCUCUAAAGGAAGCACCGGCUAACUCCGUGCCAGCAGCCGCGGUAAUACGGAGGGUGCAAGCGUUGUUCGGAAUUACUGGGCGUAAAGGGCGCGCAGGCGGCCUGUCAAGUCAGAUGUGAAAGCCCACGGCUUAACCGUGGAAGUGCAUUUGAAACUGACGGGCUUGAGUACCAGAGGGGAAGGUGGAAUUCCCGGUGUAGAGGUGAAAUUCGUAGAUAUCGGGAGGAAUACCGGUGGCGAAGGCGACUUUCUGGCUGGAUACUGACGCUGAGGCGCGAAAGCGUGGGGAGCAAAC
rnacentral:rRNA from 1 species